rnacentral:rRNA from 1 species
AUGAGGCUGUCUAUGUUCAACGAGUUUAGCAAACUCAAAUUCCUUCAAAUUGCAGAAACUAGAUUUGCAAGUGUUGUGAUCAUGCUCAAGAGGAUUCUAUUAAUUAUUAAGGAUGCACUUGUUCAAAUGGUUGUUCAUCCUAAUUGGGCUGCUUAUACAGAGGAUGAUACAACUAGAGCUCAAAGGGUGAAGGGGCUUGUCCUCAAUGAUAUUUGGUGGGACAGAAUUGAGUACAUUGUUUCUUUCACUGAGCCUAUUUAUGCAAUGAUAAGGUUGGCUGACACCGACAAGCCAUGUCUCCAUUUGAUCUAUGAGAUGUGGGAUUCCAUGAUAGAGAAGGUCAAAAUACCUAUCUAUCGGUUUGAAGGAAAGGAACAAGGUGAAGAGUGUAUCUUGUAUGACAUUAUUAAAGAGAUCCUUGUUUCCCGUUGGACCAAGAGCAAUACCCCUUUACAUUGUCUGGCUCACUCACUAAACCCAAGGUACUAUAGUCCAGCUUGGAUUAAUGAAGUCCUUGGCUGUAUCAGCCCCAAUGAUGACCAUGAAGUUACAGAAAUGAGAAACAAGUGCUUUCGAAAGUUCUAUCCAGAUCAAGAGGAUUUCAAAACCAUCAAGAAGGAAUUUGCU